rnacentral:rRNA from 1 species
GAUGAACGCUGGCGGCGUGCCUAAUACAUGCAAGUCGAGCGAACAGACGAGGAGCUUGCUCCUCUGACGUUAGCGGCGGACGGGUGAGUAACACGUGGAUAACCUACCUAUAAGACUGGGAUAACUUCGGGAAACCGGAGCUAGUACCGGAUAAUAUAUUGAACCGCAUGGUUCAAUAGUGAAAGACGGUUUUGCUGUCACUUAUAGAUGGAUCCGCGCCGCAUUAGCUAGUUGGUAAGGUAACGGCUUACCAAGGCAACGAUGCGUAGCCGACCUGAGAGGGUGAUCGGCCACACUGGAACUGAGACACGGUCCAGACUCCUACGGGAGGCAGCAGGAGGGAAUCUUCCGCAAUGGGCGAAAGCCUGACGGAGCAACGCCGCGUGAGUGAUGAAGGUCUUCGGAUCGUAAAACUCUGUUAUUAGGGAAGAACAAAUGUGUAAGUAACUAUGCACGUCUUGACGGUACCUAAUCAGAAAGCCACGGCUAACUACGUG